rnacentral:misc_RNA from 1 species
GAAAGUAAAAGUCGUAACAAGGUUUCCGUAGGUGAACCUGCGGAAGGACCAUUACUGAAGUGAGUCUUCAUCAUUGAAGCUUCUUCCCAUUGUGCUGGCUUUGACCGUAUGUAAUGUUGGGGAUUAAGCAUGGUUAAAAUCUUUUUAGCCGUCCCCAGCAAAUUAUCUUAUCCUUUAUUAAAUUGAACUGAACUCAUUUUGAGAUUACAUAAAAAAUAAUCUUUUAAUACAACUUUCAACAACGGAUCUCUUGGUUCUC